UACGUAGGGGGCAAGCGUUGUCCGGAAUCAUUGGGCGUAAAGAGCGUGUAGGCGGCUUGGCAAGUCUCGCGUGAAAUCCUGCGGCUCAACCGCAGGCGGUCGCGGGAAACUGCCUCGCUAGAGUCCGGAAGAGGAGAGUGGAAUUCCUGGUGUAGCGGUGGAAUGCGCAGAUAUCAGGAAGAACACCCGUGGCGAAGGCGGCUCUCUGGGACGGUACUGACGCUGAGACGCGAAAGCGUGGGGAGCGAACAGG
rnacentral:rRNA from 2 species